CAAGUGUACACUGAGCCAGCAGGUUCACCAGAAAGCUAUUGAGCGUUUGCUGGAACACAUUAUGCAGGGAAAUGAAUGUGUAGAGGAAGAAGUCAGGUGAUGCUGGUGUCCUGGGGACCACUCCACGGAAGGAGAAGACACUGGGAAUAGAAGACCUUUGAAAAUCGUGAUGGGCUUAAAGAUCCCAGCGCAGGUCCCACCACUUAUUCGCUCUCACCUGGCAUCUCAAUCUCUGCAUCUGUAAAAAUGAAGAAAAUAAUCCAUCUCCCUGGAUGACUUCAUGAGAUUUUUUGUAGUCAUCAGUGAGGUACUGUACAUAGACGUGCUGUAAGGACGAAAAGUUCUUCACAAUAGGAUGCAUGGGAAAGCAAGCAGGGAGCAGUGGAGGAGGCUGAACCCAGAACGUGGGCUGAGGAUGCUGGGAGGGAACAGGGUUGGGGGCUGAAUCCUAACAGGAGGAAGCUACUGAGCUGCUUCUGUAAGUUGGGCCUGGAUGGAAACCCUGGAAGCAGUAACU
rnacentral:lncRNA from 10 species